rnacentral:rRNA from 1 species
UACGUAGGGUGCGAGCGUUGCCCGGAUUUAUUGGGCGUAAAGGGCGCGUAGGCGGUCACGCACGUCCGUUGUGAAAUCGCUCGGCUCAACUGGGCGGGGUCAGCGGAUACGGCGUGGCUAGAGCAAGCUAGGGGGCAAUGGAAUUCCCGGUGUAGUGGUGGAAUGCGUAGAUAUCGGGAGGAACACCAGUGGCGAAGGCGGUUGCCUGGAGCUUUGCUGACGCUGAUGCGCGAAAGCGUGGGGAGCGAUCCGG